AGAGUUUGAUCAUGGCUGUUUACUAACGCUAGCGGCAGGCUUAACACAUGCAAGUCGAGGGGUAACAGAAGUAGCUUGCUACUUGCUGACGACCGGCGCACGGGUGCGUAACGCGUAUAGAAUCUACCUUUUACAGAGGGAUAGCCCAGAGAAAUUUGGAUUAAUACCUCAUAGUAUUGUUGAAUGGCAUCAUUUAAUAAUUAAAGUUUCGGCGGUAAAAGAUGACUAUGCGUUCUAUUAGCUAGAUGGUAAGGUAACGGCUUACCAUGGCAACGAUAGAUAGGGGUCCUGAGAGGGAGAUCCCCCACACUGGUACUGAGACACGGACCAGACUCCUACGGGAGGCAGCAGUGAGGAAUAUUGGACAAUGGGCGCAAGCCUGAUCCAGCCAUGCCGCGUGCAGGAAGACGGCCCUAUGGGUUGUAAACUGCUUUUAUACAGGAAGAAACCUUUCCACGUGUGGAGAGCUGACGGUACUGUACGAAUAAGCACCGGCUAACUCCGUGCCAGCAGCCGCGGUAAUACGGAGGGUGCAAGCGUUAUCCGGAAUCAUUGGGUUUAAAGGGUCCGUAGGCGGGCUAAUAAGUCAGAGGUGAAAUCCAGCAGCUUAACUGUUGAACUGCCUUUGAUACUGUUAGUCUUGAGUUAUAUGGAAGUAGAUAGAAUGUGUAGUGUAGCGGUGAAAUGCAUAGAUAUUACACAGAAUACC
rnacentral:rRNA from 1 species